rnacentral:rRNA from 1 species
GAAUUCGCCCUUAGAGUUUGAUCCUGGCUCAGGACGAACGCUGGCGGCGCGCCUAACACAUGCAAGUCGAACGGAGUCAAGAGGAGCUUGCUUUUCUUGACUUAGUGGCGAACGGGUGAGUAACGCGUGAGUAACCUGCCCUGGAGUGGGGGACAACAGUUGGAAACGACUGCGAAUACCGCAUAAGCCCACGGAUCCGCAUGGAUCUGCGGGAAAAGGAUUUAUUCGCUUCAGGAUGGACUCGCGUCCAAUUAGCUAGUUGGUGAGGUAACGGCCCACCAAGGCGACGAUUGGUAGCCGGACUGAGAGGUUGAACGGCCACAUUGGGACUGAGACACGGCCCAGACUCCUACGGGAGGCAGCAGUGGGGGAUAUUGCACAAUGGGGGAAACCCUGAUGCAGCGACGCCGCGUGGAGGAAGAAGGUUUUCGGAUUGUAAACUCCUGUCGUUAGGGACGAUAAUGACGGUACCUAACAAGAAAGCACCGGCUAACUACGUGCCAGCAGCCGCGGUAAAACGUAGGGUGCAAGCGUUGUCCGGAAUUACUGGGUGUAAAGGGAGCGCAGGCGGACCGGCAAGUUGGAAGUGAAAACUAUGGGCUCAACCCAUAAAUUGCUUUCAAAACUGCUGGCCUUGAGUAGUGCAGAGGUAGGUGGAAUUCCCGGUGUAGCGGUGGAAUGCGUAGAUAUCGGGAGGAACACCAGUGGCGAAGGCGACCUACUGGGCACCAACUGACGCUGAGGCUCGAAAGCAUGGGUAGCAAACAGGAUUAGAUACCCUGGUAGUCCAUGCCGUAAACGA